GCGGAUAAUAGAGUGAAAUCAAGGGACAUGAUGUGAAUAAAUUUGCUUUCUCUGAAGUACUGGUAGAACUCUUUCCAGACAUCACCAUUUGCCAAGCCUGCAUAAAGGAAUAGGCCUAGUCCUGCAGCAAGUGUUNGAUUCCAGAAAAUUAAGAGGCCAUUUGCCAAGCUCACUUUCUUCGACAGGCGGUGGUGGUGGUCUCCAAAGAACAAAAUAGGGAAGAAGACCAUAUGCACCACCAAAGCAU
rnacentral:misc_RNA from 1 species